rnacentral:rRNA from 1 species
AUUGAACGCUGGCGGCAUGCCUUACACAUGCAAGUCGAACGGCAGCACGGGAGCAAUCCUGGUGGCGAGUGGCGAACGGGUGAGUAAUAUAUCGGAACGUGCCCAGUAGUGGGGGAUAACUGCUCGAAAGAGCAGCUAAUACCGCAUACGACCGGAGGGUGAAAGGGGGGGAUCGCAAGACCUCUCGCUAUUGGAGCGGCCGAUAUCAGAUUAGCUAGUUGGUGGGGUAAAGGCCUACAAAGGCAACGAUCUGUAGUUGGUCUGAGAGGACGACCAGCCACACUGGGACUGAGACACGGCCCAGACUCCUACGGGAGGCAGCAGUGGGGAAUUUUGGACAAUGGGCGCAAGCCUGAUCCAGCAAUGCCGCGUGCAGGAAGAAGGCCUUCGGGUUGUAAACUGCUUUUGUCAGGGAAGAAAUCCUCUAGGUUAAUACCCUUGGGGGGAUGACGGUACCUGAAGAAUAAGCACCGGCUAACUACGUGCCAGCAGCCGCCGUAACAC